UUUGGAAGAGAAAUGAAUUUGGAAUAAAAUAUAAAAAAACAAAGUUAGAAUAUCUAUCAGAUUUAUACAAUGAGAAGUGAAGUAUUAUAGAGAUAUCACAUUUAUACAAUGAACAAAACAAAAGCUAUAGCCAUAUCACAUAUAAGAAAACUAAGGGAAUACCAAUAUCACAUUCAUACUAAGAAUAAAAGGGUAAGAGUUAUAGUGAUAUCACAUUGAUACCAUAAAUAAGGAAGAAAAACUCUAGCAUUAUCACACUUAUACCAUGAACAAGAUGACAAAACCUAUAGCAAUUUCACAUUUAUGCCAUGAUUAAGUCAAAAGCUAAAGAAGUAUCACAUUUAUACAAUGAAUAAGAGGAUAAGAGCUACAGUGAUAUGACAUAACAGAAAGUGUGAUAUCGAUAUAGCAUCUCAUUUACAGAAUGAACAUAAAGAAAGAUAAACAUUAAUAAUAAUAAUGCUACAAAACAAAAACAACAUAUUCCCCCAGAAUUCAAUCUUCAAACAUUUAAUAUUUUUGAGCAGCAACAAGAACAAGAAUUGACUGAACAAAUACAAGUGCAUAAUAAAUAUUAACAAACAUUAUUCUAUAUACAUGGACGAUAUUUAAAAGUUUGGUGAAAUACAUAGAAUACAAAUGUUCCGUAUGAGAUAUUACGUCUAAAAACAUAUAAUAUUCCAGCUAGAAUAGUAUUUUGGGAAUUAUAACCAUAGUUAAAUCUUUAAUGAUAAUAGAAAAUAUGAUAUUAAAUGACUGGAAAUAAUAAUGCAAUAAUGGUUUCAAAUUUUGGCACAAAGCCAGUAAUUUUGAGGAGAGGGACAAAAUUGCUUACACAGACCCCAGUGCUCAAAUGGUACUUAUUUUAUCAACCCCAGGAAAAAAUGAAAGGCAAAGUUGACCUCAGUGGGAUCUGAACAUAAGGAACGGGGAUGCUACUAAGCAUUUUCAGCAGUGCAGUAAUGAUUCUACCUGUUCAUUGCCUUCAUCAUAAUAAUAAUCCAUUCUACUAGAUAGGCACAAGGCCUGAUAUUUUGAGGGAGGGGGGCUAAUUGAUUACAUCGACUCCAGUGUAUAACUGGCAUUUAUUUCAUUGACCCCGAAAGGAUGAAAAGCAAAGUCAACCUCGGUGGAAAUUGAACUCAGAACAUAAGGAGAGAUGAAAUGCUGCUAAGCAUUUUACCCGACAUGCUAAUGACUCUGCCAUCUUGCUGCCUUAAUAAUAAUAAUAAUAGUUUGUGAUUGAGGCACAAAGGCAGCAAUUUGAAGUGGGAAAGGAAUUAGUUGAUACCCUCAACCCCAGUACUUCACUAAUACUUUAUUUUAUCAACCUCAAAAGGCAGAGCUAACUUCAGCUGCACUUGAACUUAGAACAUUAAGAGGUGAAACAAACAUUGCAAAGCAUUUUGUCCGAUGUUCUACCAAUUCUGUCAGGUAGCAGAAUAAAGUUGUUUAAAUUCAUCUGUGUUUGACUAUGACAGUCUCAUAGUGAGUAGGAGUUUUAUACUCUCACAACUACAUGGAAACUGGAAUAGCUCAGGUCCAAUGAACAAAAACUGGGGUAACACCUGGCAUAAUGCAUCUGUAGGCUCAACACAAAGUGCAAAAAAUGACAAAAAAAGAAAUGUCUGAAUGGUACUUUAUUCUACCAAGCUCAGAAUGACAAAAGGCAAAGUUGUCAUCAGAUGGUCUUAUAAAAAUAAUGGUUUAUAAUUUAGGCAUGAGGCAUGACAUUUUGAGGGGAAGGAAUUAGUUGAUAACAUCAACCCCAAUAGUUGACUGGUCUGUAUUUUAUUGUCUACAAGGAAAUGAAGAACUAAGAUGACUUUGGCAGGAUUUGAACUCAGCACUUGAUGAGCCAGAACAAACAUCACAAGAUGCUUUGUCUGGCGCUCAAAUGAUUUCUGCUAAUCCACCACUCUUGUAAUAAAAAUAAUUCUGAGCAUACAUCAAUGUUUUGAUACUGACCUAUUAUCCAUUACAUUUCAGACAGAUUCAGUGCUAAGUUGCCAAAGCAGAAAUAUCGUUAUAGCAAAUAUUCUGCUCAAUGUCACAAAUUUGCUUGACCAUAACCACUUAAGCAUGUACGUUAGUGGUUGACAAUCUGUGCAUCUCUGAUCAUGAGCAGGAGUAGUGGGAGAGCACCAUAGCCAAGUGUUGAGAGGGAUUCUUUAUGGUUUGAAUAAAUGUCACAAAAGCAAAGUCAUUUUUCAUAUUUUCUAGGGGUAAGCAAAUAGGAAAUAACAAGUUGCUACCCAAGGACAAAAAUUGUGUUACACAGUGUUAUAAUUUAAUUUGAAGAGUAUUUUGAAGACUAUCUUAAUGUCAAAACUGAUAAAAUUGACACUUGUUGGUCCCUUAGCAGGUAUACACAUCUAUUUCAAAUAUAUACAGAAGCAGUAAAUUCUUGUUUAUAUAUCAUCAUCAUCAUUUAACAUCUGCUUUCCAUGUUGGCAUAGGUUCAAUGGUUUGACAGGAGCUGGCUGGGCAGAAAACUGCACCAAGUUCCAGUGUCCGUUUUGUCAUGGUUUUUAUGGUUGGAUGCCCUUCCUAACACCAACCACCCUGCAGAGUGGACUGAGUGCUUUUUAUGUGGCACCAGCAAGAGUUAUGUCAAUUUUGGCAUGAUUUUUACAGCUGGAUGCCCUUGCAAACACCAACUACUUUACAGUGUGGACUGGAUGCUUUUUACAUGGCAUCAACACUGACAGGAUCAGCAAGUAACUAGCAACACAAAGAUCCUUUAAGGGGAGGGGGCACUGGAGGAGGUGAUCAUGUACCAGAUGAUGAAAGGUUAAUGUGACAGAGAGACAGAAACAGGUGUCUGGUGCAUGCAUAGCUGUGUGAUUAAGUAGUUUCCAUUCCAGCCCAGUCGCACCACGGCAUGGCAUUUAUUUCCUAUUAUAGCACCUGGCUGAGCAAAGUCUCAUGAGUGGAUUUGGUAGAUGGAAACUGUGUGGAAUUCCAAGAUGAAGAUAUAUUUACAAAUGGAUAUGUGUGUGUGAGUGUGUAUGCACCUUGUCUUAACAUUAAAUAUAGUUGCAAAUUAGUGCCAGCAUCAUAUAAGCAAUGUUGCUCCUUCCCAAUCUUCUGAGGAAACGUAUCUGGUCAUUAGGAAUUAUUAUUACCUUAGUUGGAAACAGGCAACGAUUGACGACUGAAAAGGUAUCAAGCCAUUGAAAGUCUCUUUCAAAAAAAUUUCACCUAAUCCAUGCAGGUAGAAGUAGAUGUUAAAAUGAUGAUGAUAUAUAUGUGAGUACGUGUAUAUAUAUAUAUAUAUAAAAUGUACUAUUCUGUUAUGUGAUAUGGGUGGAAUCAACAUAAAAGUACUCCAUCCAGUGAGAAAAACAUCAUUUAAUAUAUACAGGAUUUGAAUUUGAGCUACUAUUAGUUUCAUGCUUCUGAAAACACAGUGGUCAGACAUAACUUACCAAGUAUUUCCAAGCAACCCUGGAUUGUUUGGAAGUAAGUGGCGUGCUAUACAAGAUUGUCUGAACAUUGUAUUUUCAGAAGCAUGAAUCUUACAACCGCUUGAAGU
rnacentral:lncRNA from 1 species